ensembl:lincRNA C630028M04Rik RIKEN cDNA C630028M04 gene
AGAUCCAGCGUGUUCUGUGCCCGAUGGAAGGAACAGUGGUUUAAGAAGCAGAGUACUCACGCUAAAAUAACAGCUCUAUUGCUAAUUAAAGAAUUCUGUCAAGGAUGCUGGACCGAAGUUUAACAGUGCUGUUGGAAGGAUCAGUGGACCUUGGCUGUGAACCUCAGUGGUCAGCUUUUAUUCAACUGUACUUUUCUUCUGUUGAUUGUGUUCCAUAUUUCUACAUUGUUUGGAGUGCAUUGUAGCUGUCUUCAGACACACCAGAAGAAGGAAUUGGAUCCCAUUACAUAUGGUUGGCAGCCACCACGUGCUUGCUGGGGAUUGAACUCAGGACUCUGGAAGAGGAAUUGGUGCUCUUAACUGCUAUUUAUCUCUCCAGCCUUGUUUCUACUUUUUAAAUUGUUUAUUAACUGAGGAGUGAAGCUAAUUCUUUAAAAAGGCUUUAUCACUACUGCCACAUAUAAGCCUUUACUGUUGAAAUUCCUAAUUUAGAUUAAUAUUAUUAAUUAAAGUUCAUGUAUUGCUGAAUAUCAUCAUGAACAUUCACAGACACAUAUUUUUUCAUUNNNNNNNNNNNNNNNNNNNNNNNNNNNNNNNNNNNNNNNNNNNNNNNNNNNNNNNNNNNNNNNNNUAUCAAUUAAAUGUAGCCAUUUUGAACUAAUUAUGGCAUACUUACUGAUUUUCAUUUUUCUUUCUAAAGAAUGCUGUUUUGCUUCAUUUUCUGUGACUAACAAUAGCACAAUAUAGACUGUUAUAAAGAAGAGAGAUUCAUGUUGGCUUACACUUCAGGAGUUUUAAAAGCUUAUGGGCCAUAUCUAAAUGACUUUUUGGUUCUUACAGAAUUGCAGACACCAUAUAAUAUGAUACAAAUAAUGUGAAUUAGUUUAAUCUUUCUCUCUCUCAUUUUAUAAAGCUACUAGAAACAAACAUGAGUAUUAGCAUUCAGUGAUUCAACCUCCAUUCUGAUGACGAAAUCUCUUUCUAAACAUUUCCUAACAUUUCCACCUCUAUCAAAACUGUGUGAUGAAGUCUCAACACUGAUAGUAAAAUACCUUCCACUGGAAAUUAUAUCCCAUAUGAGUUUUGCAGGGACACGCCAUUUCCGAUUACACCAAACUACAUCGGCUAAGUGUUUUAGAACCUCAGAAUUAAUUCUGACUCUACCAAAUAGCAACUGUGAUCCGCGACAGUGAGUGCGAUCAUUUGACCGGUUGCUUUGGCUUUUUUUCUGUAAACGGAAAUGAUAUUCAUAGCCAUCUGUCGCAAAGUUGCUAUGAGGAUUAACUAAGCUAACAGACUAAUAUGUUGAGUGUCAGCACCGAGACAAACAGGGCUUAAAAUGUAAGUCCAGUGUAAGCAUAAACUAUCUCCACUUCCCCUCUUGAAAACAGUUCUGCUUUUUGAAAUACUGCUUAUUCUUGCCACAGAUUUUAUUUUUCUCGAUCUGUUCAUGCCUUGAAUUGUUUUUGUAAGACUGUAAUUUUUCCUCUGAUUUGAAUUUUACUGAAUCCCGAUUGCUGUUCAAGACUUCCUUUAAAGUUCUUAGUCUGGUAAAUCUGAAUUUCAUUUGCAUUCAUCUUCACAUCCCAGAUUUCCCUCUUCUUGAGCACUCGCUUUCAUUUCAAUGCAUCUGCAUUCUCUAAGGUCUAACUUAUCACAUGAAUCUUAUAUUUUCUUCUGUUCAAAAUUGUUUGCAAUGACUGUUCUAACAUUGAGCGAUUGACACGGUGUCUACGUAGAGUCUGCACUGCUAUGGACUUGUGUUCAUAAUACUGGGAGGUAUUUUGAAUGUUACCCAUGGAGAAAGGUUAAUGCCAACCUAGUUACAAACUUUUCAGUCUACAAUGAUGAUCUGCCUGCAAGAUGUGCUAGUGCAACAAUAGCAAAAAGCUUGUGGAAGUAACCACAAAACUAUUUGACUUCAUUUAGGCCCACUCCAUGAAACUGAGACUGUUUGCAUCACGGAUUGGAUGGGCAAGAAGCUAAGACCAGAUAGGCCAACGACCUACACCAAUGACCAAAUAUUACUGUUCAGCUAAAGGAAAAUCGCCAUAAAAUGAUUGUUACAGGCAUUCUGGUAUCACCAUAGGUUUUAUAAUGUUACAAUAGAAAACAAAGAUUGGUACACAAAUAUCAGAAAUAGCAAAGACUCUCAAUUAAGGUAUAUACAAAGUGAUUUUAAAUUAAGAAUGAGCUAUGUUAUAAAAGAUAAAAUGAAAAAAAAUAUGGAGAGAUCUCUGGAAAAAUCUUUGUGGAUGACCACUACAACACUCCAGGGAGCUUUGAAAGAACUGGUGGUGACUACUAACAGCCAAUAGUGGCCACAUUUUACAAUGCAAGAUGAGCCAUUGGACUUCGUUGACUUCAAUUUUACAAAUUUUGGUUUAAAAACAUAAUUAAUUUGAAAUAAUUUACCAUUACCUGGCUUACCUAUUAAAAUCUAUUUUUCAUGAUUUUGACAAUUUCUUUCGAUCCUUCUCUUAGUGAGCUUAAUGUUUUGUGGUUGAAUUUUCAAUGCACGAUUACAUUUUUUAAACUUUGUUCUCAAUGGCCGGUAUCAAGCUAAAGAUGUUUGAAUUUAAGACUGAAGCAAGAUUGGAUGGUGAGAAGGUUGGUGGUUUUCAGAGCACAGAUAGAGAAUGUUAGUUCUGCCUGGAUCAUGUUCUGUUAUCUCAUUUUGGAUUUGAAGAAGCCAUACAUGGAUGUGCAUGUUUCAGUAUUUAACUUGCCAUUGGAUCUGUGUUUUGCCUUCUGCCCCUAUAUGUUUUAUUGCAAAGAGAGGGGAGAACAGAGGAUGGCAAAAAUAACCAUAGCUCUUCAAAGUCUUGACUUCUGGUUCACUUGGAGAUGCCCGAGUGAGGCUCUUAAGGAGGAAAAGAUAAAACCUUUCUGUGCUUCAGGAAAGGUGAUCCCUGUAUAAACCAUGGAAUAUUUCACAGCUCAGUUGCAGAACUCAAGUUGUUGUUUCACACUCUAAGUGUCUUUCUCAGCACAUUUUAAUGUGCAUAUUUACCUGGAUAUAGCUGUGAUGUAAAGAAUAUAAUGAAUAAAUUAUUUAUUGGC